GUGAGGGAGGGGAUGACUAGUGACAGAGUGAGGGAGGGAAGUGGUGACUAGUGACAGAGGGAAGGGUGACUAGGGACAGAGUGAGGGAGGUUGUGACUAGUGACAGUCACCACCUCCCUCACUGUCACUAGUCACCCCCUCCCUCACUCUGUCACCAGUCAUCCCCUCACUCUGUCACUAGUCACCCCUUCCUUCCCUCACUCUGCCACUAGUCACUCCUUCCCUCAC
rnacentral:sRNA from 1 species